GGACUGAGCUGUUAGAAUAAAGGCAGGGGUUUUGAGGACGUGAAGACUGCCAGCCACUCCCCUCUCUGGCCCAGAGAUCCCCAAGGGAAACAGGCACCAAGGGCAACGCGGGAGAUACAAGGUCUCUCCAGAUCACUGGACACAUGUGAAGGCGCGGGUUCCGGAGGCCCCACCUGCCCUGAGGCUGCCUCACCCCAGAGCCACUUCAGAAACCGCUGCAGGCUUCCUGGUUGGCAUAAGAGUCAUUUUGGGGCCAGAGUUAACUGAGGGAUUGGAGCUCAGCUCUCAAACGUGGAUCAGCCUCUCGGUGAAAAGGCCUGAGGGCACGAAAGCUCCAAAAUAAACAAGUCAAAUACGGCUGGCCAGAGGGGCUAAUCCCUGGGAAGAUGAACCCAGGCGGAAGAGGCAAAGUCCUUAAUCCAAGGGCAACAGAAGAUCCUACCUUAAUCCAU